AGCUUAACGGACAAAGCAAUAGUCUUCGGAACUAUUGAUGAGGGUUCAAAUCCCCCCAGGC
rnacentral:tRNA from 1 species